rnacentral:rRNA from 1 species
GAACGAGAAAGUGGAGCAAUCCAUGAGUAAAGUGGCGACCGGGUGAGUAACACGUGACUAACCUACCUUCGAGUGGGGGAUAACCUAGGGAAACCUGGGCUAAUACCGCAUAACAUCUUUGGAGUGGAAAUUCUGGAGAUCAAAGGAGCAAUUCGCUGGAAGAGGGGGUCGCGGCAGAUUAGUUAGUUGGCGGGGUAAUGGCCCACCAAGACAGUGAUCUGUAUCCGGCCUGAGAGGGCGCACGGACACACUGGAACUGAAACACGGUCCAGACUCCUACGGGAGGCAGCAGUGGGGAAUUUUGCGCAAUGGGGGAAACCCUGACGCAGCAACGCCGCGUGGAGGAUGAAGCCCUUUGGGGCGUAAACUCCUUUCGACCAAGACGAUAAUGACGGUACUGGUGGAAGAAGCACCGGCUAACUCUGUG